rnacentral:lncRNA from 1 species
UUUUAUUUUUUACCUUUAUUUUAUUAGGCAAGUGAGUUAAGAACAAAUUCUUAUUUACAAUGACGGUCUAGGAACAGUGGGUUAACUGCCGUGUUCAGAGGUACAACGACAGAUUUUUACCUUGUCAGCUUGGGGAUUAGAUCUUGCAACCUUUCAGAUACUAGUCCAACGCUCUAACCACUAGGCUACCUGCUCUAACCACUAGGCUACCUGCUCUAACCACUAGGCUACCUGCUCUAACCACUAGGCUACCUGCUCUAACCACUAGGCUACAUGUCUCUAACCACUAGGCUACCUGCUCUAACCACUAGGCUACCUGCUCUAACCACUAGGCUACCUGCUCUAACCACUAGGCUACCUGCUCUAACCACUAGGCUACCUGGAUCUAACCACUAGGCUACCUGCUCUAACCACUAGGCUACCUGGCUCUAACCACUAGGCUACCUGCCGCCCCAUAUAUGAGAGGAGAUGGGAGGAGGAUAAUUGUACAAUACAGGUACCAUUCACUAAUGUCAUUACUUAUACCCGGAAAAUAUGAGGGGUAAGUGGAGAUAAUAUGAGAGGUAGGUGGAGAUAAUAUGAGAGGUAGGUGGAGAUAAUAUGAGGGGUAGGUAGAGAUAAUAUGAGGGGUAGGUAGAGAUAAUAUGAGGGGUAGUUAGAGAUAAUAUGAGGGGUAGGUGGAGAUAAUAUGAGGGGUAGGUAGAGAUAAUAUGAGGGGUAGGUAGAGAUAAUAUGAGGGGUAGGUGGAGAUAAUAUGAGGGGUAGGUAGAGAUAAUAUGAGGGGUAGGUAGAGAUAAUAUGAGGGGUAGGUAGAGAUAAUAUGAGGGGUAGGUGGAGAUAUUAUGUGGGGUAGGUAGAGAUAAUAUGAAAGUGUAAUUUCAUAGCAUGAAUGAUUUAAUCUCCCAAAGCCUGAUUUUUCCUGACAGUUGGCUCCGAUGUCUCGCUCCAUUAUGCAUGUCAUUUUGAUUCCUCCAACUGGGUCGCUGCUCGGCUCUAUCAGACCAAAGUGUUUGAAAUUGUCAGCAAGAGAAAGGCGUUGGUUCUCUCUGGAUAUCAACCAUCAGCUUCACAGCCCAGCCUGAGAGAGAGAGAGAGGGGGAGAGAGAGAGGGGGAGGGAAAGAGAGAGAGA